CAAUCUCUCAAGAAAACUAAUUAGCACCAGUUUGUUUUCACCGUAGAAUAGCCGGCACGAGUUAACUAACUCUCACCUACAAUGUAUAGCUCCCACAUAACCACACAUUGUCGAAAAUCAAUAAACACAACUGACUCUGAAACUACAAUUUAUAGCUCAUACGUAACCACCUGCCAUAGAAAAUUGGUCAACACGUGUUAACUCAGCCCACAAUUCAUAGCUCUCAUGUGACCAUGACGGCGACACCCGACGGUGAAUCAACAUAACAGAGUUGAUCUCAACCAAUUUAAAAUUGGUUAGACAACACUAACAGGGUUGAAUCAACAUUUAAAAGCAGAAAAUUUAAAAAAAAUAAAUUCUU
rnacentral:lncRNA from 1 species